UCAUUUAUUAUGGUGAUUGUGAUAACAUAAGGGAAAAAAAUGAUGUUACCUUAUUAAUAGUGUUGUCCAAAACUGGUGCCAGAAGACUCGGUAAGGCCAGAGACGCAAACGUUAGUCAUCUUAAUCAGGCGUAAAGGGUGUGUAGGCUGCUUUGAAAGUUUAAAUCUUUAUAAUAGCUCUGUUACCGUACUACUAUAUUAUUUAAUUGAAUUAUUAAAAUUAAAAUUAAAAUUAUUUAAAAUAAAAAAUAAAUAAUAAUAAAUAAUAAAGAAUAAAUAUAAAUAUAAAUAUAAAUAUAAAUAUAAAUAUAAAUAUAAAUAUAACUAUAACUAUAAAUAUAAAUUAAAAAAUGUAGUAUAUAAAAUUUAUUAAACUAAACACUAAAUGAUAUUAAAAAUAAAAUAAAAAAUAAAAUAAUAUCCGUGUAUCAGUUAAGAAAUAAAUGAAUUAAAGCUAGAAUCAAAGGGAGGAUAAGCCAAAUAAUACUUAAUGUAGGGCUAAUAUCCGCAGAUAUUAAGGGGAAUACUAAAGGCGAAAGCUUUUUAUCUAUUAUUGAUUGACGCUGAGAAACGAAGGUGAGAAUAGGAAAUAGGAUUAGAUACCCAGAUACCUCUCACUGUCAACGAUGAAUGGUGGUUAGUUAGUUUUAAAAAAAACUAGUAGCGAUGUUAACACGAUAACCAUUCCGCCUUGCGAGUACGGUUGCAAAACUGAAACCAAAAAAA
rnacentral:rRNA from 1 species